rnacentral:rRNA from 1 species
GGUUCUUCGGAACCUGAGACCGGCGCACGGGUGCGUAACGCGUAUGCAAUCUACCUUUUACAGAGGGAUAGCCCAGAGAAAUUUGGAUUAAUACCUCAUAGUAUAUAGACUCGGCAUCGAGAUUAUAUUAAAGUCACAACGGUAAAAGAUGAGCAUGCGUCCCAUUAGCUAGUUGGUAAGGUAACGGCUUACCAAGGCUACGAUGGGUAGGGGUCCUGAGAGGGAGAUCCCCCACACUGGUACUGAGACACGGACCAGACUCCUACGGGAGGCAGCAGUGAGGAAUAUUGGACAAUGGGCGCAAGCCUGAUCCAGCCAUGCCGCGUGCAGGAUGACGGUCCUAUGGAUUGUAAACUGCUUUUAUACGAGAAGAAACACUCCRACGUGUCGGAGCUUGACGGUAUCGUAAGAAUAAGGAUCGGCUAACUCCGUGCCAGCAGCCGCGGUAAUACGGAGGAUCCAAGCGUUAUCCGGAAUCAUUGGGUUUAAAGGGUCCGUAGGCGGUUUAAUAAGUCAGUGGUGAAAGCCCAUCGCUCAACGGUGGAACGGCCAUUGAUACUGUUAAACUUGAAUUAUUAGGAAGUAACUAGAAUAUGUAGUGUAGCGGUGAAAUGCUUAGAGAUUACAUGGAAUACCAAUUGCGAAGGCAGGUUACUACUAAUGGAUUGACGCUGAUGGACGAAAGCGUGGGUAGCGAACAGGAUUAGAUACCCUGGUAGUCCACGCCGUAAACGAUGGAUACUAGCUGUUGGAAGCAAUUUCAGUGGCUAAGCGAAAGUGAUAAGUAUCCCACCUGGGGAGUACGUUCGCAAGAAUGAAACUCAAAGGAAUUGACGGGGGCCCGCACAAGCGGUGGAGCAUGUGGUUUAAUUCGAUGAUACGCGAGGAACCUUACCAAGGCUUAAAUGUAGAUUGACCGUUUUGGAAACAGAACUUUCGCAAGACAAUUUACAAGGUGCUGCAUGGUUGUCGUCAGCUCGUGCCGUGAGGUGUCAGGUUAAGUCCUAUAACGAGCGCAACCCCUGUUGUUAGUUGCCAGCGAGUCAAGUCGGGAACUCUAACAAGACUGCCAGUGCAACUGUGAGGA